CGAUGAUCUCCAGCUUGCUGGGGUGAUUAGUGGCGAACGGGUGAGUAACACGUGAGUAACCUGCCCUUGACUCUGGGAUAAGCCUGGGAAACUGGGUCUAAUACCGGAUAUGACCUUCCAUCGCAUGGUGGUUGGUGGAAAGCUUUUGUGGUUUUGGAUGGACUCGCGGCCUAUCAGCUUGUUGGUGGGGUAAUGGCCUACCAAGGCGACGACGGGUAGCCGGCCUGAGAGGGUGACCGGCCACACUGGGACUGAGACACGGCCCAGACUCCUACGGGAGGCAGCAGUGGGGAAUAUUGCACAAUGGGCGCAAGCCUGAUGCAGCGACGCCGCGUGAGGGAUGACGGCCUUCGGGUUGUAAACCUCUUUCAGUAGGGAAGAAGCGUAAGUGACGGUACCUGCAGAAGAAGCGCCGGCUAACUACGUGCCAGCAGCCGCGGUAAUACGUAGGGCGCAAGCGUUAUCCGGAAUUAUUGGGCGUAAAGAGCUCGUAGGCGGUUUGUCGCGUCUGCCGUGAAAGUCCGGGGCUCAACUCCGGAUCUGCGGUGGGUACGGGCAGACUAGAGUGAUGUAGGGGAGACUGGAAUUCCUGGUGUAGCGGUGAAAUGCGCAGAUAUCAGGAGGAACACCGAUGGCGAAGGCAGGUCUCUGGGCAUUAACUGACGCUGAGGAGCGAAAGCAUGGGGAGCGAACAGGAUUAGAUACCCUGGUAGUCCAUGCCGUAAACGUUGGGCACUAGGUGUGGGGGACAUUCCACGUUUUCCGCGCCGUAGCUAACGCAUU
rnacentral:rRNA from 1 species